rnacentral:rRNA from 1 species
AGUGAACGCUGGCGGUAGGCCUAACACAUGCAAGUCGAACGGCAGCACAGUAAGAGCUUGCUCUUACGGGUGGCGAGUGGCGGACGGGUGAGGAAUACAUCGGAAUCUACUUUUUCGUGGGGGAUAACGUAGGGAAACUUACGCUAAUACCGCAUACGACCUACGGGUGAAAGCAGGGGAUCUUCGGACCUUGCGCGAUUGAAUGAGCCGAUGUCGGAUUAGCUAGUUGGCGGGGUAAAGGCCCAACAAGGCGACGAUCCGUAGCUGGUCUGAGAGGAUGAUCAGCCACACGGGAACUGAGACAGGGCCCAGACUCCUACGGGAGGCCGCAGUGGGGAAUAUUGGACAAUGGGGGCAAGCCUGAUCCAGCCAUACCGCGUGGGUGAAGAAGGACUUAGGGUUGUAAAGCCCUUUUGUUGGGAAAGAAAAGCAGCAGGUUAAUACCCCGCUGUUCUGACGGUACCCAAAGAAUAAGCACCGGCUAACUUCGUG